ACACCUCAACUCUCAUGGUUUGCCAUGAUGAGCUUGGACUCUGGGGGUUUUGCUGGCCUGUGGCCGGCUCCUCUCAAAUGGAUCAGCUUACCAGUGUUUGGUGGCGUCACAGGUGUGAUAAUUAUCUACGCUUGUUGUUGUCCGCCGAGUAACCUUUGGUGACGGAGGUUCGCUGGAGCUUAUAAACGUCUCUCCUCAGCGAAGACAGCUUUUUGACC
rnacentral:misc_RNA from 1 species